rnacentral:rRNA from 1 species
GUGUCAGCCGCCGUGGUAAUACGUAGGGUGCGAGCGUUAAUCGGAAUUACUGGGCGUAAAGCGUGCGCAGGCGGUUAUGUAAGACAGAUGUGGAAUCCCCGGGCUCAACCUGGGAACUGCAUUAGUGACUGCAUAGCUGGAGUACGGCAGAGGGAGAUGGAAUUCCGCGUGUAGCAGUGAAAUGCGUAGAUAUGCGGAGGAACACCGAUGGCGAAGGCAAUCCCCUGGGCCUGUACUGACGCUCAUGCACGAAAGCGUGGGGAGCAAACAGGAUUAGAAACCCCCGUAGUCC